GAUCCUGGCUCAGAUUGAACGCUGGCGGCAUGCCUUACACAUGCAAGUCGAACGGUAACAGGUCUUCGGAUGCUGACGAGUGGCGAACGGGUGAGUAAUACAUCGGAACGUGCCCGAUCGUGGGGGAUAACGAGGCGAAAGCUUUGCUAAUACCGCAUACGAUCUACGGAUGAAAGCGGGGGAUCUUCGGACCUCGCGCGGACGGAGCGGCCGAUGGCAGAUUAGGUAGUUGGUGGGGUAAAGGCUCACCAAGCCAACGAUCUGUAGCUGGUCUGAGAGGAUGAUCAGCCACACUGGGACUGAGACACGGCCCAGACUCCUACGGGAGGCAGCAGUGGGGAAUUUUGGACAAUGGGGGCAACCCUGAUCCAGCCAUGCCGCGUGCAGGAUGAAGGCCUUCGGGUUGUAAACUGCUUUUGU
rnacentral:rRNA from 1 species